rnacentral:rRNA from 1 species
CAUACGGGAGGCAGACACAGUCCAGACUCCUACGGGAGGCAGCAGUGGGGAAUAUUGCACAAUGGGGGAAACCCUGAUCUAGCCAUGCCGCGUGAGUGAUGAAGGCCUUAGGGUUGUAAAGCUCUUUUGUCAGGGAAGAUAAUGACGGUAC